rnacentral:rRNA from 1 species
CACGUAGGGCGCAAGCGUUGUCCGGAAUUAUUGGGCGUAAAGAGCUCGUAGGCGGUCUGUCGCGUCGGAUGUGAAAACUCGGGGCUCAACCCCGGGCCUGCAUUCGAUACGGGCAGACUAGAGUUCGGCAGGGGAGACUGGAAUUCCUGGUGUAGCGGUGAAAUGCGCAGAUAUCAGGAGGAACACCGGUGGCGAAGGCGGGUCUCUGGGCCGAAACUGACGCUGAGGAGCGAAAGCGUGGGGAGCAAACAGG